rnacentral:misc_RNA from 1 species
GAUGAAGAACGCAGCGAAAUGCGAUACUUGGUGUGAAUUGCAGAAUCCCGUGAACCAUCGAGUCUUUGAACGCAAGUUGCGCCCGAAGCCUCGGCUAAGGGCACGUCUUCCUGGGCGUCACGCAUCGCGUCUCCCCCAAACCGCCAAGGCGGAGGGGAAGGAAGAUGGCUUCCCGUGCCUCACCCGGGCGCGGUUGGCCUAAAUUUGGAGCCCGCGGCACUUAGCUCUCGCGGCGAUAGGUGGUGAACAAGGCCUUGGCCGUGCAAACAACCCGCUGCGAAGCUCUAUGUCACGUGCGCUCGUCGGACCCUUUGAAGUUGCCUUUGGUGACUUAAAACCUUUGCGACCCCAGGUCAGGCGGGGCUACCCGCUGAAUUUAAGCAUAUCAAUAAGCGGAGGA